rnacentral:miRNA from 1 species
GUUCCAGGUUGAUAUCAACAGGCCUGAACAAGGUUGUGUGGCCCACUAUGAACAGUAUUGUCAACAUGUUGUUACAGCAUUGUUCAACUCUAACAACUUGGAACAACAUGGUUGACAACUUGUUCAUAGUUGGCCGCACAACAUUGUUCACACCUGUCGAUAUCAACUUGGAAC